rnacentral:rRNA from 1 species
GAUGAACGCUGGCGGCGUGCUUAACACAUGCAAGUCGAACGGUGAAGCAGGAGCUUGCUCCUGUGGAUCAGUGGCGAACGGGUGAGUAACACGUGAGCAAUCUGCCCUGGACUCUGGGAUAAGCGUUGGAAACGACGUCUAAUACCGGAUACGAGGCGUGGGGGCAUCCCCAACGCCUGGAAAGAACUUCGGUCCAGGAUGAGCUCGCGGCCUAUCAGGUAGUUGGUGAGGUAACGGCUCACCAAGCCUACGACGGGUCGCCGGCCUGAGAGGGUGACCGGCCACACUGGGACGGAGACACGGCCCAGACGCCUACGGGAGGCAGCAGUGGGGAAUAUUGCACAAUGGGCGCAAGCCUGAUGCAGCAACGCCGCGUGAGGGACGACGGCCUUCGGGUUGUAAAGCUCUUUCGCACACGACGAUGAUGACGGUAGUGUGAGAAGAAGCCCCGGCUAACUUCGUGCCAGCCGCCGCAGUAACAC